rnacentral:rRNA from 8 species
GACACGACUCUCGGCAAUGGAUAUCUCGGCUCUCGCAUCGAUGAAGAGCGCAGCGAAAUGCGAUACGUGGUGCGAAUUGCAGAAUCCCGCGAACCAUCGAGUCUUUGAACGCAAGUUGCGCCCGAGGCCAUCCGGCCGAGGGCACGUCCGCCUGGGCGUCAAGC